UCAGAAACAACGCCCUACUGUUCCUUCAUCUUCCUCAGAUUUCAACUCACCUCAACUCGCCCGAGUUCACUCAAAUGGUCCCCUUCCCUCCACGUUAUUUGAUUCCCAACAGUUUUUGUUAGAAAGAAUUCGAAUAUUCUCUCAAAAUCGCACAAUUUUGGGUACGAAAGAACGAUUUGUUGGAUGAAUGGGAGCUGUGGAUAGAUGUAAGUCGAUCCACGCCCUCCAUUUGUCCCAAAAUUGUUCAAAAAACUCGAAGAUAUUUGGAUUUUUGGGCAGAUUUUUGAGAUUUUUUGAAGGCUAUAUAUAUGAGCUCUAAGCCGCGGUUUUGCUCGAGUCGAUCUAGUUGCUGUAAUCCCUGAAGUUUUUUGUUAAUUAAAAGAUCCAGGUGCAUCUGAGGCUAAGUGAGGAUUUUUAGUUGAGAAGCGCAUAUCCGGGAGCAUCGAGGUAGCUGCAUGGCAUCCGCAACCCUGAUCUCUCCUUUCUAUCCUUUUGUUUUAUCCGCAUUCCCUAGAUUGAUAUGUAUUACGGUGAUAAACCGGUAUUAAGGGCUCAGACUUGUGACACCGGAUCUAUAUGGUCUAUGUAGUAGUAGUAUUAUCAUUUGAAAUUCCGCAUAUUUAA